UUAGAGUUCUGAUCAUGGCUCAGGAUGAACGCUGGCGGCGUGCUUAACACAUGCAAGUCGAACGAGCUUAUUCAUUACGAUUCCCUUCGGGGAUGACGAUCUAUAAGCGAGUGGCGGACGGGUGAGUAACGCGUGGAUAACCUGCCAUAUGCUGGGGGAUAACAGCUGGAAACAGCUGCUAAUACCGCAUGAUACUAUCGGAUCACAUGGUCUGAUAGCCAAAGCUCCGGCGGUAUAUGAUGGAUCCGCGUCUGAUUAGGCAGUUGGCGGGGUAACGGCCCACCAAACCGACGAUCAGUAGCCGACCUGAGAGGGUGACCGGCCACAUUGGGACUGAGACACGGCCCAGACUCCUACGGGAGGCAGCAGUGGGGAAUAUUGCACAAUGGAGGAAACUCUGAUGCAGCGACGCCGCGUGAGCGAUGAAGUAUUUCGGUAUGUAAAGCUCUAUCAGCAGGGAAGAAAGAAAUGACGGUACCUGAGUAAGAAGCACCGGCUAAAUACGUGCCAGCAGCCGCGGUAAUACGUAUGGUGCAAGCGUUAUCCGGAUUUACUGGGUGUUACUGGGAGUGUAGGCGGCCUGAUAAGUCCGAUGUGAAAACCCGCGGCUCAACUGCGGGAUUGCAUUGGAAACUGUUAAGCUGGAGUAUCGGAGAGGCAAGUGGAAUUCCUGGUGUAGCGGUGAAAUGCGUAGAUAUCAGGAGGAACACCAGUGGCGAAGGCGGCUUGCUGGACGACAACUGACGCUGAGGCUCGAAAGCAUGGGGAGCAAACAGGAUUAGAUACCCUGGUAGUCCAUGCCGUAAACGAUGAGUGCUAGGUGUUGGAGGGUUUCCGCCCUUCAGUGCCGCAGCUAACGCAUUAAGCACUCCGCCUGGGGAGUACGACCGCAAGGGUUGAAACUCAAAGGAAUUGACGGGGGCCCGCACAAGCGGUGGAGCAUGUGGUUUAAUUCGAAGCUACGCGAAAAACUUACCAGGUCUUGACAUCUUGCGCCACCCCAAAAAUAGGGCGUUUCCUUUCGGGAACGCAAUGACAGGGGGUGCAUGGUCGUCGUCAGCUCGUGUCGUGAAUGGUGGGUUAAGUCCCGCAACGAGCGCAACCCCUUGUUACUAGUUGCCAACAUUCAGUUGGGCACUCUAGUGAGACUGCCGGUGACAAACCGGAGGAAGGUGGGGACGACGUCAGAUCAUCAUGCCCCUUAUGACCUGGGCUACACACGUGCUACAAUGGACGGUACAACGAGUCGCGAACUCGCGAGGGCAAGCUAAUCUCUUAAAGUACGUCUCAGUUCGGAUUGUAGUCUGCAACUCGACUACAUGAAGUCGGAAUCGCUAGUAAUCGCGGAUCAGCACGCCGCGGUGAAUACGUUCCCGGGUCUUGUACACACCGCCCGUCACACCAUGGGAGUUUGUAAUGCCCAAAGCCGGUGGCCUAACCUUUUAGGAAGGAGCCGUCUAAGGCAGGACAGAUGACUGGGGUGAAGUCGAAACAAGGUAGCCGUAAU
rnacentral:rRNA from 1 species